AUUGAACGCUGGCGGAAUGCUUUACACAUGCAAGUCGAACGGCAGCACGGGUGCUUGCACCUGGUGGCGAGUGGCGAACGGGUGAGUAAUACAUCGGAACGUGCCCAGUCGUGGGGGAUAACACAGCGAAAGCUGUGCUAAUACCGCAUACGUCCUGAGGGAGAAAGCGGGGGACCGUAAGGCCUCGCGCGAUUGGAGCGGCCGAUGUCUGAUUAGCUAGUUGGUGAGGUAAAGGCUCACCAAGGCGACGAUCAGUAGCUGGUCUGAGAGGAUGAUCAGCCACACUGGAACUGAGACACGGUCCAGACUCCUACGGGAGGCAGCAGUGGGGAAUUUUGGACAAUGGGCGAAAGCCUGAUCCAGCCAUUCCGCGUGAGUGAAGAAGGCCUUCGGGUUGUAAGACUCUUUUGUUCAGGGAAGAAACGGUUAGGGGCGUAAUAUCUCGGCUAAUGACGGUACCUGAAGAAUAAGCACCGGCUAACUACGUGCCAGCAGCCG
rnacentral:rRNA from 1 species